rnacentral:tRNA from 1 species
GGGCGGAUAGCUCAGCUGGUUAGAGCGCCUGCCUUACAAGCAGGAUGUCGGGGGUUCGAAUCCCUCUCUGCCCACCA